AGGGUUUCUCGGCCUUUUGGCUAAGAUCAAGUGUAGUAUCUGUUCUUAUCAGUUUAAAUGCACUUCUUAUUAUUACAAUACCCCCCAUUUCACACCUUUGCAGGCUGUUGUUUAAAAAGGAGGAUAAUUCAUCCAAAGGACUGAUUGAUUUACAUUUAAAUAGUUUCUAUGUGCUGUACAAACAUUC